UUAUCAAUUAAUUAAUUGAAAAAAGAAAAAAAUUGAACUUGAAAGAUCCCCGAAGAGAGACCCUUACUCAAGUCUCGGGAAAUCACGGAUCCAAGACACAGAGAGACCA
rnacentral:pre_miRNA from 14 species